rnacentral:rRNA from 1 species
UACGGAAGGGGCGAAUGUUGCUCGGAUUCACUGGGCGUAAAGCGACCGCAGGCGGUUUAUUAAGUCAGAUGUGAAAGCCCAGCGCUCAACGUUGGAAUUGCAUUUGAAACUGGUAGACUAGAGUCAUUGAGAGGGAGGUGGAAUUUCCAGUGUAGAGGUGAAAUUCGUAGAUAUUGGAAGGAACACCGGUGGCGAAGGCGACCUCCUGGCAAUGUACUGACGCUCAGGGUCGAAAGCGUGGGGAGCAAACAGG